AUGCUGAGAUUUUAGAGAAGAAACACUCUCCCAAAGUUUAUUCAAGUACCCACUUCUUCUACUUCAUCUUUAAAACCUUCGAUUCUUCAUAUAUUCCGAUACAUACAAGGUUUUAAACCCCGAAGCUUCGUUCCACCCAACCAAGCCUCGCUCAUCUUAGCAUUUUCAUAAACCACUCUUUUCGACCUCCCGAAGGGCUGCCCAAAUUCGUUCGUGUGCUUAAAGUCGUAUCGAACCUCCGACGAAUUUCUCCGGCGAACUUUCGUGCAUUAAUCGUGUAAGUGGUUUCUUUUAGCUUCAACUAUCCGUGUCUUAAUCGACCAUUUUCAAAGGGCUUUUUAAACAAAUUUCUCUUCAUCUUAAGCUCUCUUGAUUUCAAAAUACUCGAGUUGGCCACUCGUUAUUAUCGGGAAUAUUGUGCACUAACUUUACUUGCUCACUAACUCAUAUUUGUGCUCCCAUUCCCAUCACUCCCAUACCCUUCUUGUUUUAGUGAGAAACCCAUUUUUCAGCCCUGUGCUCGGUGGGGAUAUCAUUGAGAUAAGAUACGUGGUAUUACGUGUUUAUUUUCCGAACGUGUGUGUCGGGUGUGAUUUUACUUGUUUCGGUGGUAAACCCCGUUUGGGCCUUCUCGCUAUCGCGGGGUGUUAUCCGAACAAGCUACUUGGUUCGAUUGCGUUCGUGAGAGUGUGUGUGAUAUAUCUUGCUCGACUUCGACUCCGUCUUUUCAAAACUCACUCAUCACUCGAUCUUAUUAAAAUCAACAACUUAUAUUUCUCCGCGCGAUAUAAUUUGUUAAAAUUGAACCAACGACUUAACCACCAUACUAAAACGUUAUAAUCGACUAACUUCAACGUGGUUAAAAUUCGACUAAAACUUGCGGAACCAAAACUUUUAUAAAACAAGGAUAUAUUUGCUUGUGGAUAUUGUGUUCUAACUUUUGCAGUGAGGUGAAGUGAAGUGAGGUGAUCUUCGUUCUAAGACCCAAGUCUUUGACGUAUUGACGGGGAGUUGAUAGUCAUCGCACCGUGAAGAAGAGGAAAGACCCAAGACCUAAUACCUAAGAUCCAAGACCGGCGAAAGGUUUAGAAGUACAAAGACCACUGGAGGUGCAACGACUUUGAGGAAGUAACAAGGAUAGUUACGUUCCGAGACAAGUCUUGUUAUUUACAUUUAUAGUGAGGAGGUAACGAAGAGUUACGCUCCAAGAUAUAUAUUUGUAAAGGCUUCUCCGCCUACUGUAAAGGAGUUCUUUAUAGUAGAGAAAAUCUCGAGUCCGGGGAGGAGCUCGGGGACUGGACUAGGGGUGAGUGGACUCCAAGGGUUGAGUUAGCCACCGCGAACCAGGAUAAAAUCGCUCGUGUGAUAUUUUCCUUUUCUUUUCUUACACUUCCGCACGUAACUGCCAAUACUCUCGAUACAAGUUCUAAAGAAGGGGUGAAAACUUUUUAAAACGACAUAAAUAUUUUUAAUUGGUGAUUAAGCUAUUCAACCCCCCCCUUCUAGCUUAAUUAAACCAUCUAUCGGGACCUAACAUAGGUCAAUGUCAAUCUCAGGAACAAAGUAAGAUUUAUUUUCAAUCUUAUUGUAUCAUCAAAUUGAUUUAGAUUUGGUUCCUGAGAAUUAUUUAUAUUGUUUCUUUUUGAAAAGGACUGCUGUGAAUGGCGAAGCUGCUCAUAGAGAGUCCAUAACAACUGCUGCUGCUCAGAGAGCUACUAGUAGGAUUGCUGUGAAUGACGAAGCUGUUCAGGACCACGAAAUUCCACCUGGAUUUAGGAAAUUGAUAAAUGUGCGUGGCUGGACGGUGAUGGACGAUGCUUACUGCAUUUUUGCGGAUGACUAUAAAGAAAAAAAUCGUGAAAAGUUUCCACCAACCCGAAGCGGACUUGGAAUGUCAAAAGAGUGAGGGUCAUGAGUUCUAAGGACAAAUUCCCGUAUGUCAAAAGUGCCAAAGAAAAUAAAAGCUAAAGGACUUACCAAACGACCUUACUAGUUUAGAACUAUGCAUAUGCAAGUCUACUUGGAGGAAUGCUAAAAUAAAGUUGCUUGGGGGAAUGCUGAAAUGAAGUUGCUAGCUCAGAAGUUGGGAGUUUAAGAUUUCAGACUAAGUUUUUAUUCUUGUUUAAACCAGGAUCAGUUGGUGGUACUAUCUAUGUUUGAUUGUCAGACAACGUAGUUUUUUGUUUUUUAAUGCAAAUUGCA